GUUAGAACGCUCGUAGUCGGAUUUCGGGGCGGUCCGACCGGUCUGCCGAUGGGUACGCACUGGUCGGCGCGUCCUUCCUUCCGGAGACCGCCUCUGUUCUUAACUGAAUGGGUGCGGGAGACGGAUCGUUUACUUUGAAAAAAUCAGAGUGUUUCAAGCAGGCAGCUCGCUCUUGCAUGGAUUAGCAUGGGAUAAUGAAAUAGGACUUUGGUGCUAUUUUGUUGGUUUCGAACACCGAAGUAAUGAUUAAAAGGGACAGUCAGGGGCACUCGUAUUCCGCCGAGAGAGGUGAAAUUCUCAGACCAGCGGAAGACGAACCACUGCGAAAGCAUUUGCCAGGGAUGUUUUCACUGAUCAAGAACGAAAGUUAGGGGAUCGAAGAGGAUCAGAUACCCUCGUAGUCUUAACCAUAAGCCAUGCCGACUAGGGAUUGGGGAAUGUUCACUGAUUGACUCCCUCAGCACCUUACGGGAAACUAAAGUCUUUGGGUUCCGGGGGGAGUAUGGUCGCAAGGCUGAAACUUAAAGGAAUUGACGGAAGGGCACCACCAGGUGUGGAGCCUGCGGCUUAAUUUGACUCAACACGGGGAAACUUACCAGGUCCAGACAUUGUGAGGAUUGACAGAUUGAGAGCUCUUUCUUGAUUCGAUGGGUGGUGGUGCAUGGCCGUUCUUAGUUGGUGGAGUGAUUUGUCUGGUUAAUUCCGUUAA
rnacentral:rRNA from 1 species